GGCAUGGUUGUCGUCAGCUCGUGUCGUGAGAUGUUGGGUUAAGUCCCGCAACGAGCGCAACCCCUAUUGUUAGUUGCCAUCAUUCAGUUGGGCACUCUAGCGAGACUGCCGGUAAUAAACCGGAGGAAGGUGGGGGAUGACGUCAAAUCAUCAUGCCCUUAUGACCUGGGCUACACACGUGCUACAAUGGUUGGUACAACGAGUUGCGAGUCGGUGACGGCGAGCUAAUCUCUUAAAGCCAAUCUCAGUUCGGAUUGUAGGCUGCAACUCGCCUACAUGAAGUCGGAAUCGCUAGUAAUCGCGGAUCAGCACGCCGCGGUGAAUACGUUCCCGGGCCUU
rnacentral:rRNA from 1 species